rnacentral:rRNA from 1 species
CUUACCGGGUCCGGACACACUGAGGAUUGACAGGCAAUAUAUGAUUCAGCUUUCGGGUUGUUUCAUUGUUAAAUAUGCUAGUCCUUUCAUGAUUAUGUGAUAGGUGGUGCAUGGCCGUUCUUAGUUCGUGGAGUGAUCUGUCUGCUUAAUUGCGUUUCACUUAAUUUAUAGGAUCUAAUAUUUUUACGAGUGAGUAGGUUUUGACCCACACUGCAUUUUAUUAUGUGGUGGUCCGUGCGUCAUUACAAUUACUGGCCUGCUUCGCUCUAAUUAGCUAUCCUUUGAAAGCAACGAACGUGACCGCAACCUCUUGUUGCCUUCGUUUAACAUCCUACUCUUAGUGGUGGGUAUUGAGGGCUUCACUCAUUGCGUGUAACAGCGUGUGAGUAAACUAGAGGGACCGCUGUCAACUUCUUAAACCAGAGGAAGGUUGCGGCAAUAACAGGUCUGUGAUGCCCUUAGAUGUUCCGGGCUGCACACGUGCUACAAUGAUUGUGGCAGUGAGCAUCUCUA